AACGAACGCUGGCGGCAGGCUUAACACAUGCAAGUCGAACGCCCCGCAAGGGGAGUGGCAGACGGGUGAGUAACGCGUGGGAAUCUACCGUACCCUACGGAACAACAGUUGGAAACGACUGCUAAUACCGUAUACGCCCUACGGGGGAAAGAUUUAUCGGGGUAUGAUGAGCCCGCGUUGGAUUAGCUAGUUGGUGGGGUAAAGGCCUACCAAGGCGACGAUCCAUAGCUGGUCUGUGAGGAUGAUCAGCCACAUUGGGACUGAGACACGGCCCAAACUCCUACGGGAGGCAGCAGUGGGGAAUAUUGGACAAUGGGCGCAAGCCUGAUCCAGCCAUGCCGCGUGAGUGAUGAAGGUCUUAGGAUUGUAAAGCUCUUUCACCGAUGAAGAUAAUGACGGUAGUCGGAGAAGAAGCCCCGGCUAACUUCGUGCCUGCAGCAGCCGCCG
rnacentral:rRNA from 1 species